AAACUCCCUUGACGGUACUUAAUGAAUAAGCCCCGGCUAAUUAUGUGCCAGCAGCCGCGGUAAUACAUAAGGGGCGAGCGUUAUCCGGAAUUAUUGGGCGUAAAGGGUGCGUAGGCGGUUUAAUAAGUCUAUAGUUUAAUUUCAGUGCUUAACGCUGUUGUGCUAUAGAAACUGUUUUACUAGAGUGAGUUAGAGGCAAGCGGAAUUCCAUGUGUAGCGGUAAAAUGCGUAAAUAUAUGGAGGAACACCAGAGGCGUAGGCGGCUUGCUGGGACUUUACUGACGCUGAGGCACGAAAGCGUGGGGAGCAAACAGGAUUAGAUACCCUGGUAGUCCACACCGUAAACGAUGAGUACUAAGUGUCGGGUAAAACCGGUACUGAAGUUAACACAUUAAGUACUCCGCCUGAGUAGUACGUACGCAAGUAUGAAACUUAAAGGAAUUGACGGGACUCCGCACAAGCGGUGGAUCAUGUUGUUUAAUUCGAAGAUACACGAAAAACCUUACCAGGUCUUGACAUUUUCUUGCGAAGUUAUAGAAAUAUAAUGGAGGUUAUCAGGAAAACAGGUGGUGCAUGGUUGUCGUCAGCUCGUGUCGUGAGAUGUUAGGUUAAGUCCUAAAACGAGCGCAACCCUUGUCGUUAAUUGCCAGCAUGUAAUGAUGGGGACUUUAACGAGACUGCCAAUGAAAAAUUGGAGGAAGGUGGGGAUUACGUCAAAUCAUCAUGCCCCUUAUGAUCUGGGCUACAAACGUGAUACAAUGGUUGAUACAAAGAGUAGCUGAAACGCGAGUUCUUAGCCAAUCUCACAA
rnacentral:rRNA from 1 species